CGUCUAUAUACGUAUAGCAUAUCAAUAAGCGGAGGAAAAGAAACUAACAAGGAUUCCCUUAGUAACGGCGAGUGAAGCGGGAAGAGCUCAAAUUUGAAAUCUUCAAGGUUUCUACCUUGACGAAUUGUAGUUUAAAGAGGUGUUUUUCUGUUAGAAGUGAGUACAAAAGUUCCUUGGAAUAGGGACAUCAUAGAGGGUGAGAAUCCCGUAUUUGGACAUUAUUCUUUCUAGCUUGUGUGAUACACUUUCAAAGAGUCGGAUUGUUUGGGAAUGCAGUCCAAAAAUGGGUGGUAAAUUUCAUCUAAAGCUAAAUAUUGGCGAGAGACCGAUAGCGAACAAGUACCGUGAGGGAAAGAUGAAAAGAACUUUGAAAAGAGAGUUAAACAGUACGUGAAAUUGUCAAAAGGGAAGCGUUUGACACCAGUGUUGUUUUUCCGAAGAUCAAUUAAGAGUGGCUUGAUUUUGUGUUGUAUUGACCUUAUCAGCUUUCUUCACUCUUUUUCGAGUCUUUCUUAAUGCACUUUUCGGUUAACAAGUCAACAUCAAUUUCUUUUGUUGUAAAAGGGUAUUUGGAAGGUGGCUUUCUUUUCGGAGAAAGUGUUUAUAGCCUUAUACCUCUACAAUCGGAGAGAUUGAGGUCUGCAGCGUAGAUCCUUCGGGGCUAGAUACACUUGUGCUAAGUUAUAGCUUUUCAUAGACAACUCGUUGACUAUGUUUAGUCAUGUAGCUUACCCGCUUGUGCUAUUUUACCUACGCUUAGGAUGUUGAGUCAUCACACAUCUCU
rnacentral:rRNA from 1 species